rnacentral:lncRNA from 10 species
GGGCUCGAACCACCAAUCUUUCGGUUAACAGCCGAACGCGCUAACCGAUUGCGCCACAGAGACAAGCGCUUCCGCUUCUACUGGUGAUAUGGGAAGGGCCCACUCACUGAACUAACUCCCUUCCCUCUACUCCCAGAGCCCGCCCGGCAGGACCACCGAGCAAGGCCUUGGAAAACCAGAGAGAUUAGAGCGCAGAAUGGGGAAAUGGAGAGAGAACCUGAAAGAGCCCCAAACUCGAGGACCUAUUGCUCCCCAAGAAUAACAUCUUCCAGAAGAACUAGACAGAAAACUAGGCGUCUGGGAACUCUGAAAUCCUUGGAGGAGUAGCAUCAUCAUGACCCUCUGUGUUCCUUUUGGCAAAGGACUUGCUCCCAUUGUUUGCUUGUUCCAUUGUCUGUCUGUUAAAUAAAUAAAACCCU